AACAAACGCUGGCGGCGUGCCUAAUACAUGCAAGUCGAACGGGUAGCAAUACCAGUGGCGCACGGGUGAGGAAUACAUAGAUAAUCCGCCUUCGAGUCGGGGAUAACCAGUCGAAAGAUUGGCUAAUACCGGAUAAGACCACAGGAGCUGAGGCUCUAGGGGUUAAAGGUUUUUCGCUUGAAGAUGAGUCUAUGCGAGAUUAGCUAGUUGGUGAGGUAAUGGCUCACCAAGGCGACGAUCUCUAACUGGUCUUAGAGGAUGAUCAGUCACACUGGAACUGAGACACGGUCCAGACUCCUACGGGAGGCAGCAGUAGGGAAUAUUGCGCAAUGGGGGAAACCCUGACGCAGCGACGCCGCGUGAGUGAUGAAGGCCUUCGGGUCGUAAAGCUCUGUCGUAUGGGAAUAACACAAUGAAUGUACCAUGCAAGAAAGGAUCGGCUAACUUCGUGCCAGCCGCCGCGGUAAAAC
rnacentral:rRNA from 1 species